UAUGGUCAUAUCCUGUUGAAACACUAGUUCCCAUAUGAUCACUGAAAGUAAGCUAUGGGGAGCCUGGUCAGUACCUAGGUGAGUGACUGCUUGAGAAUACAAGGUGCUGAA